UCCUGGUUGCCCAGGCAGUCUCUCUAGAGUGCCCAACUUAAUGCUGGCAACUAAAGAUAGGGGUUGCGCUCGUUGCGAGACUUAACCCAACAUUUCACAACACGAGCUGACGACAGCCAUGCAGCACCUCUCUCUGAAUUCCCCGAAGGGCACCUCCGGCAUUACCCAGAGUUCUCAGGAGUUCAAGCCUAGGUAAGGUUUUGCGCGUUGCUUCGAAUUAAACCACAUAAUCCACCGCUUGUGCGGGCCCCCGUCAAUUCCUUUGAGUUUUAGUCUUGCGACCGUACUCCCCAGGCGGAGCACUUAAUGCGUUAGCUGCGUCACGGAAGGAGUCAAUACCUCCCAUAACUAGUGCUCAUCGUUUACGGCGUGGACUAC
rnacentral:misc_RNA from 1 species